UACGGAGGAUGCGAGCGUUAUCCGGAUUUAUUGGGUUUAAAGGGUGCGUAGGCGGACGCUUAAGUCAGCGGUAAAAUUGCGGGGCUCAACCUCGUCGAGCCGUUGAAACUGGGUGCCUUGAGUGGGCGAGAAGUACGCGGAAUGCGUGGUGUAGGGUGAAAUGCAUAGAUAUCACGCAGAACUCCGAUUGCGAAGGCAGCGUACCGGCGCCCAACUGACGCUGAAGCACGAAGGCGUGGGUAUCGAACAGG
rnacentral:rRNA from 1 species